rnacentral:rRNA from 1 species
AGAGAGAGACAUGCGCGCAUAUCAAUAAGCGGAGGAAAAGAAACUAACAAGGAUUCCCUUAGUAACGGCGAGUGAAGCGGGAGGAGCUCAAAUUUGAAAUCUUCAAGGUUCUACCUUGACGAAUUGUAGUUUAUAGAAGUGUUUUCUGUUAGUGGAGUGGCAAAAGUUCUUUGGAAUAGGACAUCAUAGAGGGUGAGAAUCCCGUAUUUGGUCAUUCCUCCUAGCGUUGUGAUACACUUUCAACGAGUCGGAUUGUUUGGGAAUGCAGUCCAAAAUGGGUGGUAAAUUUCAUCUAAAGCUAAAUAUUGGCGAGAGACCGAUAGCGAACAAGUACCGUGAGGGAAAGAUGAAAAGAACUUUGAAAAGAGAGUUAAACAGUACGUGAAAUUGUCAAAAGGGAAGCGUUUGACACCAGUGUUGUUUUUCCGAAAAUCAAUUACGAAUGUUUUAUUUUUGAGGAGUUAUGACUUCAUCGGCUUGCUCCUUUCUUUAUGAAACUUUCUUAAUGCACUUCUCGGUUAACAAGUCAACAUCAAUUUCUUUUGUUGUAAAAGGGUAUGAGGAAGGUGGCUUUCUUUUCGGAGAAAGUGUUUAUAGCCUUGUGCCUCUGCAAUCGGAGAGAUUGAGGUCUGCAGCGUAGAUCCUUCGGGGUUAGAUACGUUUGUGCUAAGUUAUAGCUUUUCAUAGACAACUUGUUGACUAUGUUUAGUCUUGUAGCUUACUCGCUGACGCUAUUUUACCUACGCUUAGGAUGUUGAUAGUCACAGCGUGUAC